rnacentral:rRNA from 1 species
GUCGAACGGUAGAGGGGGCAACCCCUCGAGAGUGGCGAACGGGUGAGUAAUAUAUCGGAACGUGCCCAGUCGUGGGGGAUAACGUAGCGAAAGUUACGCUAAUACCGCAUACGAUCUAAGGAUGAAAGCGGGGGAUCGCAAGACCUCGCGCGAUUGGAGCGGCCGAUAUCAGAUUAGGUAGUUGGUGGGGUAAAGGCUCACCAAGCCAACGAUCUGUAGCUGGUCUGGGAGGACGACCAGCCACACUGGAACUGAGACACGGUCCAGACUCCUACGGGAGGCAGCAGUGGGGAAUUUUGGACAAUGGACGCAAGUCUGAUCCAGCCAUUCCGCGUGCAGGAUGAAGGCCCUCGGGUUGUAAACUGCUUUUGUACGGAACGAAAAGGUUUCUAUUAAUACUAGGAGCUCAUGACGGUACCGUAAGAAUAAGCACCGGCUAACUACGUGCCAGCAGCCGCGGUAAUACGUAGGGUGCAAGCGUUAAUCGGAAUUACUGGGCGUAAAGCGUGCGCAGGCGGUUAUGUAAGACAGAGGUGAAAUCCCCGGGCUCAACCUGGGAACUGCCUUUGUGACUGCAUAGCUAGAGUACGGUAGAGGGGGAUGGAAUUCCGCGUGUAGCAGUGAAAUGCGUAGAUAUGCGGAGGAACACCGAUGGCGAAGGCAAUCCCCUGGACCUGUACUGACGCUCAUGCACGAAAGCGUGGGGAGCAAACAGGAUUAGAUACCCUGGUAGUCCACGCCCUAAACGAU